rnacentral:misc_RNA from 1 species
AAAAAAAAAAACAUUGAAUAUUUGAUUAUUCCCGAGGGAAAAAAGGUUGUGUGAAACUGCUAAAAACUGGAAAAUGUUCAUCCUAGGCAGACCAUUCCUUUGCAUCACAAACUAAUAUAAUAACUCCAAUCAAAAUCUCCUAAGUUUACCACUGAACAACACAUCAUUACUCAGUAACAAAUUGCCUAAAAUGACUACAAUUCAAGACCACCCAAGGCCAUUCAAGUACAUCUUAAAUCCCUUCAAUCAAGAAGGCGGCUUAGUGGCACUUGUUACAGCAUUCCAAAUCCGGCCAAUACCCCCAAUAACAUGAGGCCAAACACUUUCAAUCCUCCUCAAAGCAGUCCCAGAAGCAACCCCAAUAGCGAAAGUUUCAACAUACCCAGGCUUGGAAUCCAACUUCAUAUCAAGAACA